AUGAUCCGGCCAGCCGUGGAAGCUUCCUGGGAACCCCCGCCUGAUGGCCACGUCAAGCUGAACUUUGAUGGGUCGUAUGUUGUAGCAGAUGGGUCUGCGGGGGUGGGAAUGGUGCUUCGCGACCACAAUGGGGAGGUCAUUUUCACAGCAUGCAGGUGGAUCUUCAACUGUCCAGGGCCACUGGAGGCUGAGCUUGCUGCCUGUGAGGAGGGGCUAAGACUGGCCCUUCAUUGGUCCGACAAGCCGCUCAUGGUGGAGUCCGACUGUGCUGAGCUCAUCUCGCUAGUUAGUGCGGGCACGGUGGAUCGUUCCAGUAACAUGUUUCAGGCUGCAGAAAUUUUGGAGCUACUCAAGGAACGACAAUCACAAAUCCAAAAGAUUAGUCGGACUCAGAACAAAGCUGCAGAUGCCAUGGCAGCUAUAGGACGUAGACAGCAAUGCACAGCAUGUUGGCUUGCAAAUAUCCCUCAGGAGAUUAGCAUUAUCAUCAUGAAUGAUUGUAAAAUGGUUAUCAAUUAA
rnacentral:rRNA from 1 species